CUUCGGGUGAGUGGAUCAGUGGCGAACGGGUGAGUCAACACGUGGGCAAUCUGCCCUGCACUCUGGGACAAGCCCUGGAAACGGGGUCUAAUACCGGAUACGACAUGCUCAGGCAUCUGGGUGUGUGGAAAGCUCCGGCGGUGCAGGAUGAGCCCGCGGCCUAUCAGCUUGUUGGUGGGGUGAUGGCCUACCAAGGCGACGACGGGUAGCCGGCCUGAGAGGGCGACCGGCCACACUGGGACUGAGACACGGCCCAGACUCCUACGGGAGGCAGCAGUGGGGAAUAUUGCACAAUGGGCGCAAGCCUGAUGCAGCGACGCCGCGUGAGGGAUGACGGCCUUCGGGUUGUAAACCUCUUUCAGCAGGGAAGAAGCGUGAGUGACGGUACCUGCAGAAGAAGCACCGGCUAACUACGUGCCAGCAGCCGCGGUAAUACGUAGGGUGCGAGCGUUGUCCGGAAUUAUUGGGCGUAAAGAGCUCGUAGGCGGCUUGUCGCGUCGGAUGUGAAAGCCCGGGGCUUAACUCCGGGUCUGCAUUCGAUACGGGCAGGCUAGAGUUCGGUAGGGGAGAUCGGAAUUCCUGGUGUAGCGGUGAAAUGCGCA
rnacentral:rRNA from 1 species